rnacentral:rRNA from 1 species
GAUGAACGCUAGCGGGAGGCUUAACACAUGCAAGUCGAGGGGCAGCACGAUGUAGCAAUACGUUGGUGGCGACCGGCGCACGGGUGAGUAACGCGUAUGCAACCUACCCUGUACUGGGGGAUAGCCCGGAGGAAUUCGGAUUAAUACCCCAUAAUGAUAUUGAGAGGCAUCUUUUGAUAUUUAAAGUUUCGACGGUACGGGAUGGGCAUGCGUAACAUUAGCUAGUUGGUAGGGUAACGGCCUACCAAGGCAACGAUGUUUAGGGGUCCUGAGAGGGUGAUCCCCCACACUGGUACUGAGACACGGACCAGACUCCUACGGGAGGCAGCAGUGAGGAAUAUUGGUCAAUGGGCGUAAGCCUGAACCAGCCAUCCCGCGUGCAGGAAGAAGGCGCUAUGCGUUGUAAACUGCUUUUCCAGGGGAAGAAAACUUCCAUCGAGAUGGGACUUGCCGGUACCCUGGGAAUAAGCAUCGGCUAACUCCGUGCCAGCCGCCGCGGUAAUAC